UAGGGAAUAUUAGAAAUGGACAAAAGUCUGAUCUAGCAACACCGCGUGUGCGAAGAAGGCCUUUGGGUCGUAAAGCACUUUUUGGAAGGAAUAGGAAGGAAUGUACUUCCAGAGUAAGUCUCGGCUAACUACGUGCCAGCAGCCGCGGUAACACGUAGGAGGCAAACGUUAUCCGGAUUUACUGGGCGUAAAGCGCGUGUAGGUGGUUUGGUAAGUAGGGCGUGAAAGCUCCUGGCUCAACUGGGAGAGGCCGUUCUAAACUGCCGAACUAGAGGAUGGUAGAGGGAGGUGGAAUUCCGGGUGUAGCGGUGGAAUGCGCAGAUAUCCGGAGGAACACCAGUGGCGAAAGCGGCCUCCUGGACCAUUCCUGACACUCAGACGCGAAAGCUAGGGUAGCAAACGG
rnacentral:rRNA from 1 species